GUCCAUAUGACGCGUCUCAAAUAGGACGAAACGCGCGUCCUGGAU
rnacentral:hammerhead_ribozyme from 1 species